GCGAAACCUCCGCAAUGCGAGCAAUCGCGACGGGGGGACCCCAAGUGCCACUCUUAACGGGGUGGCUUUUCUUGAGUGUAAAAAGCUCUUGGAAUAAGAGCUGGGCAAGACCGGUGCCAGCCGCCGCGGUAACACCGGCAGCUCAAGUGGUGGCCAUUUUUAUUGGGCCUAAAGCGUUCGUAGCCGGCCUGAUAAGUCUCUGGUGAAAUCCUACAGCUUAACUGUGGGAAUUGAUGGAGAUACUAUUAGGCUUGAGGUCGGGAGAGGUUAGCGGUACUCCCAGGGUAGGGGUGAAAUCCUAUAAUCCUGGGAGGACCACCUGUGGCGAAGGCGGCUAACUGGAACGAACCUGACGCUGAGGUGCGAAAGCGUGGGGAGCAAACA
rnacentral:rRNA from 1 species